AUUUAUGUAGUUUAAUAAAACAUUACAUUUUCAAUGUAAAGAUAAAAGAAUUUUUUUUAUAAAUA
rnacentral:tRNA from 1 species